UUGUUUUUAUGUUCACUCGCGUUAAUUUGACGUUUUCAAAAACAGAAUUUUUAAUAAACAAUCACUUUAAAUUCAUUUCCAAUGGGAAUAAGGCGUUGAAACAUUCGUGGUUGCACGGUCGGAUCCCAUCCUUAUUGGGAAAAGAGAAAAAAAGAGAUAAGAAGGGUUUGACUCUUUUUAAGACUCAAAAACUGUUUCACAUCAAUUUUUUUUUCUUUUGUGAAGGAUGGAAAUUAGUUUUGAAAGUGGCGAGAGAUCUCAGGAUAUGUCCUAAAGUAAUCCUGACAGAAGUAUAAAAUACUUACCAGACACGAAGGCAGCUUUACGAGGAAUAGCAUGACCAUUACUUAAAAAUGCUGACAAUCGUCAUUCCAUGAACCUGGAAAUCGUAAAUUAUCGCUAUAACUUUUGUUUUUUUUUAUUGAUAGUGCAAAAAAAUAUAAAGAUAUUAAAACCCAGAGAACUUUUUUAGGAACCGUUUUGUUUUUUUUUUGAAUAUUGAUUAUAAUAAUCAAUUUUGUGGAAAUAAAUGUUUAACCAUA